rnacentral:lncRNA from 1 species
AUUCCAGAAGAUGAUCUAGAAUUGGGUCAAUCACGUUAAUUAGAAGUCGACAAUAGAGUGGUUCUACCAGCAAAGAGCCCUAUAUGUUUUAUUAUAACAUCUGCUGAUGUACCUCAUAGUUGGGUUGUACCUUCCUUAGGUGUCAAAUGUGAUGCUGUACCGGGUCGUUUAAAUCAGACCUCUAUUUCGGUACAACGAGAAGUAGUUUACUAUGGUCAGUGAAGUGAGAUUUGUGGAACUAAUCAUGAUUUUAUGCCUAUCGUCGUAGAAGAUGUUCUAAGGAAAGAUUAUGGCUAUCGGCUAUCCAUUCAAUUAAUCCCACAAAGCCCCGACAAAGAGCCAGUAUUGGUCCCCUCUCCCUCUGAUGACCUAACACAACCGUCUUCGUGGGUUUCCGCGCUUAUAGAUUGGGGAACUUCUCGAACACAAUUGUCUUCGUGGGCUGCUGCGCUUGAAGAUUUGGGAACUUCUCGCUCGAAAUCAUAAUCGAGUGUGAACGAAGCCCGAAAAAAUUCCCCCUCAGCAGCAGCGGUUGGUGUUGGGGCGGUGAUCUAACCAUUCCCAUUGUUACAGGAUGCCCUAAGGCAUCAGGAGCUAGAUAGCCGGCUGGCGUUCCACUUGAACUUAAUCGGAAAAAACUAGAAAGAAUGGCAAAUAAACGCUACAUUGGAAUAACAAUUUUUUUUAGAAAAACAAAUGGAGAGCGCUUUACUGGCAAAUGGCUUUAGCCCAGAAUCCAUUCUCAACGAUAUGGGAAAAAUACGAGGGAUCUCUUUCUAUCCGUAUGUACGACCCCUCACUGCCACGACAUACAAGAGCUAUAUUGAUAUAAUUGAAAGAGUUGGGCCAGACCAGAGCCCACCCUAAAAAUGCAUUAUAACUGCUUUUGUAGACUACAAGUUGCGCCUUCGAUUUUGGAAUUCAAACCUUCUUUUUUAUGUCAAAGACUAGAAGCUACGCACAAAUUCUCAUUGGAUUGGGUUGUUCAUACAACGAUGGCUAUAACUUCAGAUGGGGAAUCGAUCUAAAUGCGAUCUAGAUACUGAGAACUUGAACCUACAUCACAAGAAAAUAUAGCGCAGAGUAUGAGUCAGUACUUGAAAGGUAAUGAGCAUGCAGGAUAACUUAACAAGCAAACUAGAGUAUAAUCUAAACAUGAUAUAGAUACCGAAUAAUGAGAAAUCUAAUGCAAUUACAAAAUCAUAACAUAAUGAGACUAAAUACUAACAAUAUUAAAAUAUGGUCAAUACAAUGGAGUCUUAGUGAACUAUGGGAGCUACUAAUAACUGAUAUUAAAAUCACAUGAGAUAAAUGUGGAUUCCAAUGUAUAUGCCGCAUGCAGGGGACCUUAUAUACCCGACCAAAGAUGUAGAUGUAUUCCGGUGUGAUUACUAAAAUGAUACCCAUAUAGGGGACUUACAACCUACGUUGUUGGUAGUUUGGGUACAAUAUAGAUGACUGACCCUAGUCUAAAUCAGUGUUAGGCCACUCCCAAUUUAUUAAAUGACUAGCGUAUUAUGACUGAAUUUCUCUGAUAUACUUGAUAGCUCAAAACUGACAUGCAAACUGGGAAUACAUAUUAAUAUACUUGUAAUGAUACAUUCAAGACUGAGGCAUGUAUAUUUGAAAUAUAUGACCUAGCAUGUGUAAUUGAAGAACCAAAUAAAUACAUAGCUAGGGUUUUUAGAUUUCAUGCAAGAAACGAAGAAAUCACAUAAUAAUCUGCUGAAGAUAUAGAAACCCUAGGUCUAGUUGAUAAUAGGGACUCAAUAAUUUGACUGAAAUAUAUGGACAUAAUGGGCGAAAGGAACCCUUUAAAAAAUCCCACAUACCUGGAGAGGAAUUUCUCGUAGAAAACAUUCAAACUUUGUACUUGAACAGAUGGAAUUUUGUUGCGAUAUUGAACUCGGUUUUGUUGCCUCUUUCUUAUCUCUAGGUUCUAAUUUAAUAGGUUUUCCAGAAACAUUUUUUCUUAGAAAAGUUGUAGUUAUGUUUCUAUGCUAAAGCUAAACAAAACCAUGCAGCUUAGGGUUUAAAUGACUUAAUUUAGGGGUCCAAUAAAAUAGGAAAAGACAAAAAUGCCCCUACCUUAAAUUAUUGAUGGGGCUUAAUACGACCAUUUUUACGGACCGUUAAAAGGACCAUAUAUUGUUAAGUGGAUCAUUGUAUUUUGUCCAGAGUUCACUAAGUUCUACAGGUCCGGUCCAUGGGCCCUAAUUGUUACUGUGUUAGGGAGCAUGGGUAGUUCAGGUUCUCGUAGUCCUCACUUGGGUUUUGGGGUCUAGUAGCCCUUGUUCAUGGACCUUCAAACAGGCCAAAUGAAGUCCCUCGUGGUCCUCACUUAGAAGUUGUGGAGUCUUGGGAUUUGCAAGAGGUGUGAGCGGAGGGGGGGGGGGCCUCUUGUCUAUCUUAUCAAGGACCAUCCCACGGUCUUGUGAAGGAUCACAGACCAUGAGGCUCCUCAUGCUCUUUACUUGGGCGCGGGGGUUUAAAGGUCUUGUUAGGGAGGCUACUACAUAGACUCCAGGUAUGACCACAUGAUCCAUUGCCAAGAUAAGGGUGUGUGGUCUUAGGUCUUGGCCUGGGGGAAGAUAACUCCCUACCAAGGGCACAUCAACGUACCCGUGGUUUUUUCGGAAACAAUGGAGACCACCAUCUUCAUCAUCAUUGCUGAAAAAAUUGAAGUUAUUUUUAAAUAUUUUCUUUCUCCAUGCUCACCUUCCACCACACAUACCGCCUCGAUCUACACCCUUUCUUCCCAACGAAUCAAUGUAGAAACAAAAAGAAAAGAAAAGAAAAUACAAAAUUAAAUUAACAACUGAAGAACCGAUCUUUUAAGAAAGCAUUAUAAAUUUUGAUAGGAAUAAGAAAGAAGUCAUAAAGAGAAAUAAAAAUAAUAAAUUCAUAUAUAAUAUAUCUUAAAACUUACGUGACUGAUUAGCAGGGAAUGUGAAGAAAGGGGGAGGUUUGGGGUGGGCGGCAUAUUUUCGUUAUCUUUUUUUUAAAAAAAUAAAAUUUGAAAGUCUGUUCUUCUUAAAUUUAACUUGUUUAUAUUCAAGAUUUUUUUUUAAAAAUGCCACGUGACUUCAUUUGAUUUGUUAUUUUGACAUAACAUAUGCAAGCGUAUUACACACAUUUAGUAAUGUUAUUAAGUAUCACAAAAAUAUUCAAUGGAUAUUUAUUUUUUAAUAUUAGAGUGUCUAAUAGAAAACAUGGUCUACUAAAGUUUCUAAGUAAAAUAUACAAACAAAUUUAAGGGGUCAUCAAUGACUUACGACAAAAUUAUAUCAGCAAAUAUAAUUUAAUAGAUUAUAACAUAUUGCAUAUAUUAUUCGUCAAAUAAUAAAUACUAUCCGCAAGAUCAUUAUAUUUUUAGAUGUGACAAUAUUUUAACACGGUUAGUACAUGCAUAAUAUUUAAAUUCAUGAAUAAUAUUUGGCUAGAUUAAAAUGAUCUCAAUAAUGAUAUUUAUAUAAACACUCUAUAAAUUAAAAUAAUUAUUAGUCAAAUAUUUGAUAAUAAUAUACAUAAUAUUAUUCUUGUGCACGCUUUAUCAAGAAAUCUCCUAACAGCACGUAACAAUAUUUAAAGGUAUCAUAAUUUUCAAAUCAAUAAGAGGAGAAAAAAUCUAAAAUAUUUCGAAUGACUUACGUCUGAGAGGUGAGUCUAUAUAUAUAUAAGUGUUAUUUUAUGUUCAUUAUACAAGAGAUCUUUAUUUGUGAAAAAAUGAAGAUCUCUUAAUGAACAAUGAUAAUAUACUACUCUAUAUAAUUUAAUGUAAAAAUUAAGUCAAAUGAGGUUUCUUAAAGAGAGAACAGUUUGAGAAAACGGAACAACAACUUACUACAAAUACUAGAUUCUAGAAUUGAAAAACAAUAGAAAAUAACUACACUAAAAGAGAUCCAUUUUUUCUAUGAUUUAAAUAGUUAAUCAUAGGAAACUAUAAAACUAUAAUUCUUGACUUCCCACUCUAAAAACCUUAAACAGAAGAAUGACUAUAUCACCACAUAUGUCGACAUAGAAACAUGGUGUAGAGGGGAGAAAAGUUAAUUUCUCUUGUCAUUUUCCUCCUAUUAGGUGGAAGUAGUGACAAUUUAGAGUUGAUCAAUACCCAUGAAAAUAUCUUCAUUCAUGUCUACCUUUUCUUCACCAUCACCUAUGUUAUGCACGAUAGCAACAACCAUUUUGUUUUUGCUCCCGAUUUCAAGUGGAGGCUUAGUUCCGAUAAUUGGAGAAGCAACAUCUGUUGAAUGCUUAACGCGCUUGGACAAGGAUGAUGAUGCGUUAAAUAUUGAUUCUUUGGGUGAAAUAUUUAUGCCUUUUGAAAGAUUCAAUUUGGAAUUAUUGUUGCAACUAGCAAGAUAUCUACGGCUCUUGGGUGGAUCAUGAUUGUGUUCACCGGAACAAGAUACCAAGAAAAUGUCCUCAUCCUUUGAGCUUUUCUCAAUUUGUUUCUUUGCUUCACAGUGUUUUGAUGUGCUACACUUAUAGUAAUUCCUGUUAUGCCAUAUACACAAAAUAAUAAUAAGCUUAAUUCAAAUAUUAUAAGUGUGUAUACCAUUAAUAAUUUUUUACUACUUUUUGUUAUGAAAAUUGAGAAUGAAAGAGAACAUAACUUUCUAUGACAUGAAAAAAUGGUGAGAGAGCAAACCUUGGAAAUGGGGAACCUUUUAUAUACUUCUGACCAUACUUGCGCCAUGCCCAUUUGUCAUUUGUGAGUUCCUGUUGCGACGAUUCAUAGGUAAGCAUUAUCGAGUGGUUUUUCCUGAAUCAGAAGCACUAAAAUCAAAAUUUUGAUCAUACACACAUAAAACGUAAUGAAAUGAGUGGUUACCUUGUUUGAGAUUGGGUCAAAGUAGUAUUCAUAGAAAAAGAAAAAUUAGGAUGACUGUUAGCCCCUAUAUCCAGUUGUUUUUGUUUAUCUAUCCAUUCUGCUUGUGUUGUAGUUAGUGGCACACAUUCCACUAUUGUUCGUGAUUGAGGAACAGUUAUUUGUUGGAUAAAUUGAAUUGGUGUAAUUGAAUGUAAGUACAAUUCUUGGUUGUUGUUUUGGUUCGAUAUGAUAACCUGGUCAUAUGAUCUUUCCUGGCGAAUGAUUGGAAAAUCUAAAGAAACAAUUUCAGAUGAACCGGUAAAACUAUUCAUGCGAGGAGCUAAAGUUUUGUCAAAAUAACUCCAAACAUGAGACACAUUCAAACCUAAUUUGGGAUAUACAACAUUGUUAGGUUUAUUGAUAUUACAACUUCUUGCUACUACACCUAUAUCCCGAUUAUCAUCCCCCAUUUUAGAUCUGUAUAUAUUAAUAUCUAGUUAAAUUCAAAAAAUGAAAAUGAAUUUAUAGUAUAAACUAAUGAUGUUUUCUAUAAAAGCAUAGCUGAAAAGAGGAUUCAAAGAGGGGGAUAGACUUAUGGAGGUAGUAGAGCAUAAAUGAAAAGAGGAUUCAAAGAGGGGGAUGACUUAUGGAGGUAGUAGAUUAGCAAGAAGAACGUUUUAGUAAGUAAGAAAUUAUAAAACAAAGUAUGGUAUGAAGAAAGUGAAGCUACUUCACAACUUAAAUAGAGAAAAAUAAAAGCGUAUCUACCUACUACGCAUGCCCACAUUUACUUUUUAGUAAAUGAAAAUUAAAUAAUUUUUUCUAUUUUAAAGAGAUGAGGUAGGCGACAAAGUAGUAUUCAAAGAUAACUUAUGCGAUACAAGAAAAGUCAAAUAAAAUUUAUGCACCUUUUUUUUUGAGAUUAUUCAUAUCAUAUGAUAUACACUAAACUAUUCAAAGUCUAUGAUAUGACUCAUAAUUUAUCGUGAUGACGCUUAUCAUAACCCUUUUUUUAGGCAAGACAAAAAACCUAAAUUUACAAAACAUCAGAAUAUAACGAUAAAUAGCAGGAGGAAACAAGAAUAAAGAUACAAAAUAGGGCCAUAAAAUAGAAAUUAAACAUGAUAUACAAUGUAUAAAAGAUGCCUGAAAAUGAGAAGAACGACAAAGUAUCAUAAGAACUAAAUCUUCAAACAUGGUGUCACUAGAACAUGAAGAACUAAGUAUAGAAACUCUAUAUAAAAAUGGACUAACUAAUCAAAAUGCAAAACAAAAGUCAGUAAAAAAUAGAAAAAGCAGCAAGUCUUUGGGCACUAGGAACUCACCAUGAUCCAAGUCAGUGAUGAUCAAAAGGGAUUCAACGCUACAUGAGAGUGGAUCCUACUUGUAAUUCUCUCAGAAAAAGAUACAUAAAUGUAGUAUAAGUACUACAUCACAGUAUGGUCUAUAGGUAUCAUGAGUCGACGGCGCUAAAAAGAUAAAAUAUAUUAAGAGAAGUGAUAUACCUUUAGUUUAAAGUAUUUUUGAUCUGUUUCACUUAGAAUUGGUGUAUGUCUAGUGCUAUUUUAUUGUUGGAAAUAACGAUUAUAUAAAAUUUUUGUAGGAAAUAAGUUUGGAUGCGGUGGACUGUGAUAAGAGUUGAAACAUGCAGAAUUGUCCAAUGACGGAGCCAACCACAGAGAAUUGGUUCAUUGAUGGGCUGUAGGUGAUGCAACAUAGAUGAUGGUUCAAAAAAUUUUGCCAAAGUCUGGAAACUCGGAGGAUAUCGAUGACGUAUAAAUCGAAUGAUAGACCGUCCUAUACAUCCAUCACUUGCAAUAAGAAAUUUGAAGUUCAAUUACUUCAAACGUAAAGGCAAGUAAGGAAACGUAGUCAAGUCCAAAGACAAUAGGUCCAACCAUUGUCUGAAGUCCCUAUAAUAAUUUCCAAGAGUUAAUCCUUGAAGGAGACCAUGGACCAUUAGUGGAUCCACAGUCUGUAGCUUCUGCCUCCGAUUGAAACCGCAUCUAACCAAUUAUUUCCUUAUUUUGUUUCCUACUUGGUUGAGUAUUUUUACUAUGAAUAUUAGUUUUUAUAUACGUUUUUAGGGUUAUACAUUAUUGUAUACUUUAGUUUUGGCUUUUUGGAAUUAUUUUUCUAACACUUAGCAAUUUUUUUUGGAACCUAGUUUAUGCAAAUUUCACUUUUAAUUUUAAAUUAAAGAUUUCAGUUUUCUUGUAUUAUCAUUGUAAGUUCAUGAAUUCUUUUAUCUUAAUUAUGAAUUGUGAACUCUCAAUGACGAGUGACUAAAUCAACAUCUAGGGUUUUUGGAACCAUGACCAAUUAACAAAGUAUGAAUAAUAACAAAGUAACGUAAUAGUGUUUAUGCAUGCAUUGUUAAUCUUUUUAUUUAGAACUCACCUCAUUCCUACUUUAACUUACCAAGGGGGUAAUCAUUGAGAAAAAUAUUUUACAACAGAGAUUUAGUUAGGGAUUUUCUUCUAUUUAAUAGUUUGACUUUAAUCAAUUGAGAAAAGGUCGAAUACCCUAGCUUAAUUAACUCAAUGACUAAUCGUGGGUGCAGGUAAGGGUUUGUAAUGCACACAUUCGUAGAUUUACCAUGUCACGAGUGAAAAUCCUUAUGAUGAUAGCCAAUAACUUAGAGAUACAUAACUUAUCAACCUUGCAUGUCAAACACUAGGAAAUGAUUACUACUAUUAUGAUUACCACAUUAAAAUCAUGUGGGAAACACAUAUACCCUAGUUUCCAUUCUAAUGAUAUCUAAAACAAUGAAUGUUUCUUACUUGUUACUUAUUGAUUCAAAUGAACAACCUGUUACUUUAUUUACAAAAAACCCUGUUUACCUAUGUCGAAAAUAGUUUGAUUAAAAAGAGAUAAUUGUGAGUAUUUAUGUGUCUAAACCAUAUUCCUCGUGCGAUUGAACCUAACAUACAAAUUUGAUUUUUUACUUGAUAAUGAUUGUUUAUGCUUUUUUUACGGUGUAAUUUUAUCCUAUCAAAUUUUGGCAUUGCUUCCAAGGAAUAUAACUUUUAAAUUAAGUUUAACUAAAUUAAUAAACUUAAGUCAAGUAUUUCAUGAUUUAUGUUUUUUAUUUUUUGUUUUCUACAGGUUUCAACUCUAGAAUAUGUCAAGUACACGAAAUCUAGGCUAAUCAUUAACCCCCUACGAUCGACAAUUGAGAAGAACUUUGAGGAAAAUAAGUACACCACAAUCUAACUAGAGAGGGGUCUAGAUGAUAGUUACGUCCCAAGCGUAUCUCGUAGACUGGCAUGACAUGAGCAUAAUGAGAGUAAUAAUAACUGAUACGUCUACUAAUAAUAAAGUAUAUCUAAAAUGAUUGGGUAAUACCCAUGUACAAAACUAAAAAUAUUAAAUGUGAGAAUUCAAUACAAACAAAUAUCCAACUCGAAAUACUAAUUUGAAUCUAGUGAUGUCUUAAAAUAGCCCCUAACUGACUAGAAAUUUUGGGACAUGCACCAGCUAUGCCUAGCAAAAUUGAAAGUAAAAGGGUGAAAUUUUUUAAGAUAACAAAGGUAUUGUCCUUGAAGGAUGAGGACUCAACACUGAUGUUUUUAGAGCUAAGUCAUCGAGCCGGCCCGGUAAAAGCUUGAGGGAAUCACUCAGACGUAAUAACAGUUUCUUACUGUAAUAGAUAACAAGCUCAUAUAUCUGAUGAUCCUUUAUAAGAGGCUGAAAGGUGUAUUUAAUAGAACCGCUAGCAAAGAAUUUCUAAAAGAGACAAACUUCAAAACGAGAUAAUUUGUGGAAGUAGAUAGUAUAAAUAGAAGUAUCUUUGCAAACUACAUGAUCUAAACGAUUGAUAAACUCGGUCAACAUCUUAUAGAUCCUUUUAGGAAAAGUAUCAUAUAGAAAAAUCAGAUACUUUUCACAAAAAUAUGUUUCAAUACUACCAACUUGCUUUUUAGACAGGGCAGAGCCGGGUUUGACCACUACAAAGCCCAUGGCAUAUGGCAUGUGCACUUUCUCUAUCUGAUUAGUAUCGGACUCUACGGGAAUGGUUUCAGUAUCUACAACAAUGAAGGAUCUUCUUUCCUUGCAAUUAGAUUUGAGUCGUGAUAUGCUUAAGGUACUUAGGUUUACAAUUUUCAAUCAUUCGUAGAGCUAUACUAUCAUACACCUCAUCACUUACCACACUUUCAGCGAUCAGGCGAUAUAUCUGAUCAUUAGAGAUAUUCAUAUCUACACUAGAGUGGUUUUGAUCAUAAUAGAUUCGAAUGAAUAUGUCAGUUAUAACAACAUCGCCGUAAGCCUGAGCCUUUUCCCUAACAUAUUCAUCAACUAUAUCUCUGAUAGGCUGAUUUACCCCACCCACUCUAAACGUGAUAGCUUGGGCUAGGGCAUAAGUGAUUAUACCGCUUGUGGUUUCCAUGCUAUAAUGAAUAGUGAAUUUUCCAUACUCCGAAUCUUUAGGGUAUGCGUACUUGAAUAGCAGGUACAUAAUAAGAUUCACUAUAAUCUCACACUCUUUACAUCUUAAUAAACUGUCGAUCAAUUCACCGUAACCUAUUCUCAGCGCGGGAUAAGGGUCUUUACAAUAUAUUUUCCUGAAAUAUAAAAGACACCCUAAGUAGUCCAUUCUAAUCCUGGUACUGUCAGGUCUUUUUCUUAUUAUCGUAGACCUCCUCAUUGAUGUGUUAGUCUUAUUCAUAAGUGCAAACUAUAAAUAUACGGGUAAUCCAUCCAUUUACGUAUUUCCACGCGGUACUUAUCUAAUCUAGUAUAACAGGAUGAAUCAGAACACGAUUUAAUACAUUUAGGUAUAGGGGCUGAAUCCGUCAAUUGUAUAGAUAGAAUAUAAUGAUAGUAGGCUUGGGAGAUCUCUGUAAGCUGCUCAUACUAUAUAUCUCUUUUUUUUGUCAAUGUGUAUUUUUUAGGGCAGGGUAUAUUAUCAAGGCAGCUGUAGAAAUCAUAUACAGCGAAGCAUCCAUCUAGAUCUAUGUGACACUGCCCGCUGGGAGUAUGGGCUUCAUCAAAAAGAUUUAUCCCAAGGAAUGAGUUAAUAUAUUCCAUUAGGUGGGGGCUAUUUAAUAAGAUUUUGAUGUAACUCUCACCCAUAGCAUGUGAGAAAUCAAUGGUACUGAUGAAAUUAUCGUGAACUGUAUAUAAAGGGAUUGCCCUGUUUUUUAUAUUUUUUAUUAUAUUAAAUACUAUAAUAGCAUCUAUCUGAUGAAUAAAAUUUGCGAAAAUUGCUAAUGUAAUUUUUCUUCGAUCACGUUCGAGUGUGGGAACACGUAGCCUUACCUAGCGUCUUUUCUUGCUUUGACGUUCAUAUAACGCUUAUAUUAACAGCUUCAAAUUUCAUAUAGUCAUGCACUAUCGUAAACAUAGUGGUUGAAUAGUGGGCAAGUGCCCCACUUGCAGAUACAACCCAGCCUACAAUUCGUAUUAAAGUCAUUAGGUUGACUAUAUGAGGAAAUCUCUUUUUAAAGAAAAUUUCUAUAUGUCUAGCCAGUUCCAAGCAUUCUCUUUUAACCUAAAAGAACAUUAAACUGAUUAUAUAGAUUGUCAGCCAUGUUGUACACAGUCUUCCCAUAUACCAAGGGCAUUAAGGGUGAUUUCACUAAACUUCUAUGAAGAAGGGGGCAUACAUAUUUGAUAAUAAUAGAACCAUCCUUCCAAAUUCUUUUCUCAGCGACUUUUAAGUACUCUAUAAGCUCCGAUAGAAAGAAAUUAUUGAUAUGGUUUAUACGUACAUGUUCUAUAUUAUGAACUUAAGUAGGAAAAAGAUUUGUAUAUUUAGAAAGUUCGAAAUCUACCAAAAAGUAACUAAUUAUCUGAUAAGCGCUAGCAGAUGCAUCUUGAGUUAUAGGAAGUUGAUACAGUGGUACCUUAGUAGACUCCGCCACUAGAGUAACAAUCUUGGAUAUGUACUGAUAGAGGUCCCUUGUUGUUGAAGCGCGCUCUAUGAGAUCUUCAAGUCAUUUUAGACUCUAAAGAUCUAAACCAGCUUGCAAGGCUUGUUCAUAGGAAGGGUAUUUUUUUUAUAAUGAAAGGCAAUCGCAGCAAGGUACAUAUUUUGAGCUAUAGCAGCACCCCCCUUUGAAGGGGGGUAUUUAGUUGACUCUCUUUAACAGUUCGUCUAAAAAAUACAAUUAAAGACCUCGCUAUAUCACGUUCAUGGAAAUGUAAUACACCAGAGUGGUAAAUUCUACCACAGAGGUCAAUGAAGUCCGGCAAAUAAAAUUCAUACUAUCAUAAGCUGAAGCAAUAUAUAGUAUUAAAACUUUAUAAUGGGCUAGUUGCACAUCAGCCAAGAACACAUCUAGCACACUCUGGUUUGUGAUAGACCCCUUAUUUUCAUAUUUAAGGAAGGUAUUUCUUAAACUCUUGAUUGCAAUAAGUAUAUUAAUCGAUGCUAGAAUAUGAGGCAUAGGAAGCCUCUCCCUAAAGAGGGAUUUACAAUUAUCCUAAAUAAAAUCUAAAAUAACAACAUUGAUCUCAAAAGACUCCUUUUGCAAUGAGUUCAUUGCAUCACAAAUUUCUUGAUAUUUAUCUUUCAAUAAUAUAAUAAUCUUAUCCUUGUCAUGGGUUGCUAACAACUUAUAACGAUUAUACAAAUAUAUAUCACCGACGGGUUCACAUAAAUAACCCCCGGUAAGGUCCGAAAGACUAGUAGGUUUCCACAGCAGGUUUCGCAACAUGCCAAUCUUUAGGCGGACAUACCAUAGGCAGAUUUAGCUAGAUAGGAAUAAUCCCUACAUCAAAAUUAUAUAAAACGUAGGAUGCUCGUUUCUUACCAAACCUACCCUUCUUAUCGUUAAUUUCUAUCUUUUGACAUCAUAUAGAUAAAUCGUUAGUAAUAGCUAUGAGCUUUCUUUCUAAUAAAAAUUCUACCAAUAAUAUACCUACAUUCUUAUGUUUACCAUCAAGAGAAAAUUCACCCUUUAUAGAUUUAUCCCUUUCAUACAUCAUUAGAGCUUGAGUUCUAACAGUGCGAUCUAGUUUAUCAACUAGGGUAGAAAGCCGAACGGCGGGGCUAUCCUCUAUACUAUUGAAGACUAAACCAAAUAUAUGAACUAUAAUACCUUCAAGGGUAUAACAAUGAAAAUACUUUAUAAACAAUCUCUCCUUAAAAGUGAGAUAUUCUUCCUUAUCUAUCAAAUAACUUCUAGUAGUAGGUUCAUCAUCUUGAAAUAAUAAUUUCAUGAUCUGCGGUGCAGCCUGAAAAAUAUUCUUCAUACUAUCAUAAUUAACACAAAAGACUCUAUCUUCUUUUGUAAUUCUAUUAAACUAUCAGUGUGGUGUAUAUCAGCCUCACCUUUAUCCUUAUCCAACAAAUCAAAGACACUGUUUUGAUAUUUAGAUAUACUCCCAGAUUUAUGAUCAUAGUUAUAUAAAGCAUUUUCACCGAGACUCGUAUAAAAAGGAUUAAAGAUUUGUCUUACAUGACAAUAAGCUCGAGGAAAACAUCCACAUAAGAGUGGUUUAGGACAAUAAAAUAUCAUAACAGAAUUGGUUUUUGGGGGGUAGUGCGUAAAUGGAUAUACAUAUUUUUACUUCUAUUCCUCACAUAUGUGAUGCUUUUUUAUCCUAUAGAUCAUCAUUAGUGUGUAUAUAAUUUGACUAGAUAGUCUAUAUACUUAUUUUCAUAAAAUCAUUAAUAUGAUAUACAAGCAGUGAGUUCUCUCACAUAUCAAAUAUUGAGGGCUAUUUAUAUCCUAUAGAUCAUCUGUUGUGUAUAUAUACUUUUUUCUUUUUUAAGGCUAUGUAAAAUACGGAGAGCUAAAGUGCUAGAGAGUUCCUUGAAAAAAGGGUUGGCCACUCAAGUAUGAUUGAUGGGCUUAUGUACAAUUUCUCUGGCCUCGCUUACGCGCUUGCACAAACAACUAAAGAUGCAUAAAGAUCAACCGCUGGAAAAAGAACUAUAUAAAUCCCCACCCCUUAAUCAGAUAAAGCUAUUUCGUCCCUAACCCCAGCUGAAAAUCAUCCUCAGAAAGAAAGAUCUCGGCUCUUAAAGUCACACCAAAGUCAGGUUUGAAAGUUAAUGUGUUUUCAUCCCUCUCUAGUCUUGGGAAAUUGAGCGACGCAUCCACAUAAGCACAAGAAUUUUGUUCUUUUGAACAAGCCUUCUAAAUCCAAAUUUUUUGUCCUUUUAUUUGUUUCUUCGGAAACCUAUGAAAGAAGACAUUUUUAACCCCUACCCCUAUAGGAAUCCCCCUCUAGACGGACCGUCAACAUAUGCUUACGCAAAAGGAUCCUUCUAACCCCGAUUCUUUGAACUAAUUGUCAGGGGUCCCCUGUCAUUUAUCCACUCCGCCUCGACAAACCGUGCUAUAUCAGAGCUGGCUGGAACUAGGGAAUCUUUCCACAGCUGGCAUCACAGAAGACUGAUUCUGCAUGAAAAGCGCGCCUCAUCAAGCCGUAUAAAUUGUUGGAAAAAUGAAAAGGGGAUAAAGAGUCAAUUUUUAUUUUUUUCUGCUAAAAGCCUUGCUUACUCUCCUUUUCCCCUUUUAGGCACCCGACUUACUAAGGGAUUUUCUUUACUCGUAUCACAUCCUAAAAUUCCUUUACUAACUUAUCGUAUAAUGUAAGAAAGCUUUCGAAGUCUUGAUAGCCCCUCUAGCAUUCGAAUAUUUCCUUGAAGAAGUGAAAACAUGAAAUAGUUUUAGUCUUUAGAAUCAAACAAGUAUCAACCUUCUGCUGGGGAAUCGUUCGGCGGGUUAUAUGAAAAGAAUAUAUUUUGACUUUUUUGUUGAUCAGGCGACACCGGGAUUUAAAGUGGGGAAAAAGGAUUUGCAGUCCUCUCCCUACCACUCGGCUAUGUUGCUAAAAUGAUACAAAUACAGAAUUGGUGAAAAUCUUUCCCGGAUUACUGAACUACUUUUUUAUUGUACUUGCGCCUUGAGUUUUGUUUUCCUUAAUUGUUCUUCCCUUUUGAUUGUCAUUGGACUUGAUUUAUCCUUUCAAUUUCGAUUUGUUCUAUAUCUAAAUUCAUAAUCUUUCUCUUACCUCCUUUCUAUUUAAAUCUAUUUAAAAAGAAAAUAUGGAUAUUGGAACUACUCACUAUUGACUUAGAAUGCAUGAAUUAUUAUUUCUCCAAAUUGGAUUUUCCUAAUGAACUUGCUAUAUAAGGGCAAUUUAGGAAGCGAAGCAGACGAAAAUGAACAUGUUCUAUGAAUUAUUGACAGUUACACCAUCCGUCAAUCCAAUCUACAAUAUAGAUAGAAUAGAAAGCUAAAUUUUUUUUCUGAAGCUUGAUUUAGUUGUUCUAAUUGUCAGAGUUAAGAGUGUAAGGUGUCUAAUUUCCUGGUUUGAUUGAAUAGGGAAUUGGUCGACGUUCAUUCCAGAACGGUCAUCCAAAAAAUGAAUAAACAACGACAUCAAUGUUGUAGAACUCGUGUAGGCUAGUGGCAUACCUCUGCCCUAAGCUAAAAGCUAUCUUAUGAUAUUAAUAGUUAGAUGAAAAGAAAUCUCUUUCUAUCAAUGCAAGGGAAGAUUUUACCUUUUGACUGUAGUUGAAUGGGUUUAGCUUAGAAUUGAACUUAAUGUCGUCAAAUUUGCUUAGAUCUAGAAAGCGCCUCUUUUUCUGAAGAGAUACUUUUCCAACUAUUCUAGUUGAUAUUUGUGGAGUAUGAAAUCACUUACAAAUCACUUACAAUGACUCUUAAUAUCUUCUCAUUAGACAUUGACGUAUGAAAUUACUUACAUUGACUAAAUAGAUGGAAUAAGUGCAGAUAGGAUCAUUCAAAGCAUAUUAAAGGCUGAGUCAUUGACUAAAUAGAUGGAAUAAGUGCAGAGAAGGGGUGCCGAGAUCCUAGCGGGAUCUUCCCAUCAUGAUCGACUACAUAAGUUUCAUUCAAUCGGUAAGAAAAGAAAUAUGGAAUAAAUAGUUCAAUUCCAUAAAACAUGUUCCACAGGGAACCUCUUCAAUAAAUCAGGACAAAGUGAUUGAUCCAGUUGAGAGCGUAGCAUAGGAGACAGGUAAGAUGACCAUCAAUGGACAAAAGCCUCUCAUUAUUAUUAUUUUACUUUUAUACUUCAAUCAGGCCUAGAUUCACAUUUGAAUGAUACCAAUCGAGAAGGCUUUUUUAGGGACUAGCCUCUUCCCUGGGCAAACCCUGGGAUUCAAAAGAGUUAGAAGGAACUUUCUCUAUCCUAUGCCCUCGUCACUAACCAUUCCCCUUAUCUUUGCAUUUCUUGAUCGGUCUCUCAAGAGAGUGACAUUCAUUCUCUUCCCCUGUGCAUCUCUUUGAUGGACUCAUCAUAAGCUUUUUUUAUCCUCCUCUAACCGAGAUAUCUAUUAUAUCAAGAUUUCUUUUUUGAGUCCACUAAAAGCCCAUUUAUGGCACGUUUAACCCGUUGAAGGGCUUGACUCUUGUGGGAUGGGAUGUGCUCAGCCGCCUCCGACUCUCUCUGUGGGUCAGACAACUCCUUUAAGUCAGCAGACAUCAUAUUGGUCUCUCUACUGCUCUAGUAAAUGGUGAUGUCUCAAUUCCCAUUGGUCGGUAUGCUCUACGGAACAAACCUUUGUCCAACUAAUCUUGAAUAAGAUUCCUGAAAUUUACACAAUUAUUUGUAGAGUAAAUCCAUUUCUCGUGCCAUUUACAAUAACAUUUUCUUUUUCUUUCUUAUUUUUUAGGUAUCUUAUGUCCAGGCAGACAGGUCAAAAGCUGUUGAUAACCCAGCGGCUGCUUCAGAGCUUCAGAUACCAACCAGUCGGACGCGGUCUUACCUUCUCUCUUCUCUAUAAGUAUGAUUACAAAAGCACUGCCAAUCCCUUUGAACAAGAUUCAUGCAAGCUUGGAUCAGUUAUGCUUGAGGGUGAGUAGAGGAAAUCAAAAUGAAUCACAACAUGCAAACGAUAUUCAAAAUCUGUUUCAAGAAUGACCUGCUUGUAACCCAAAUCCCAUGCCAACAUAAGGCCACGGGAGAUCUUUUUCUUUGACUUUCAAGAUAUUGUGUUUAUAGAGAAAGAUAACCAGUCCUCUUGGGCGGCCGAGAGUGUUAUGUAAAAAGGACCAAGGAGGAUCCUAUCUUAAAGGAAAAGGACGAGGAGUAGGAGCUAGUUGUACGGGCGGAAUCGAAGAGAAGAAAUUCAUUCAUGCCACGACGAUCUAUAUGGAAGGGAAAUUUUUGUUGAUGCAUUCCUCUUGAGAAUGAAGAAGAAGUGAGAUAUUUUUUUAACAGGAAAAUUUGGUCAAGUAGAUCUUCUAUUUCGCCGGAAUUCAUUGAUUGCUCCGUACGAAUUUACAAUGGAAAAACUAUUGUUCGUUGUAAAAUUACUGAAGGAAAGGUUUGUUAUAAAUUUGGAGAGUUUGCUUUUACACAUAAAGGAAGACCUUUAAGAACAAAUAUUGGACCGGGAAGAAAAAAGGGGAAAAAGUAAAGUCUAUGUGCAUAUGGCAUGAAAAGGAGAUCCUAUUUCGGUAAGACUUAAUCUGAAUCGUAGUUAAGAUUCAAGUUUGUUUAGUGAGGGUGACCGCAAAAAUCACCGAAUGGGUCAGUCUUUUAGUUCUCCCUGAUUAGAAUAUCAAAGGAGGAUGUUGCAGAUGUCGGGGGCAGACACAACUUCUUCUAAGGCUAGAAGACCACUGGAAGACACCCAGGACUAUACAAUGUCGUGAAAGAAGAACACUGGACAGGCGUGCUUCGACCGUGUCUCUGGGGCACAAUUGAAUGUAGACAUCAUGAUCGCGAGGUGUAGGAUACCAGGCUGAAAAACCCGGGAAACCAUUCCCCUAUGUGCCAAUCGCUAACGCAUCUAGGGCCCCUGCACCCAGCUGAGCUGGAGAGGCCUAGCCUAAUAUUAGAAGUGCUAAUUCGGUUCAGAUAGACUUCAUUCAAGAAUGCCACCGCCCCGCGAAUCAAUAAUAAAACAAAUGCUAAGUUUCAGAUAAGUGAAUAAACCUAAAUGAAAGAAGAGACCUUUCUCGCUCUAUGCCUAAAGCGCAUUAUGCUCCAUUUCAACAAAUGAGAAUUUUCGGUAGAACCGGUGAACCACACGAGCUGGUUAGAUGUAUGGGGCAGAGGGCUCAUAGUACCUGCUAGCGCGGCUACGCGGUGGAAGGGAAGGAGCCUAAAUCGACCCCCUUCUUUUUUUCUUUGAAAAAAGCAGUAAGGAGAUUAAACUCUUGGAUAAGACUAAGCAGCUGCCGACCGUUGCGACGCGCCCUUGACCUAUUUUGAUUAAGACCAAAAAACCUUUUUCUAAAGUAGAGCCUAGUUUAAUCUGUCAAACAAGGGAUGAUUGAAUGAAAGACAAACCACUAGUAGGGAUAUGGAUGGAGCCUUUUUCAGUGAAGAGAGUUGUAGGAUUCGUAAAACAGGAGAAGAGCAUCUCAAUGUAUGGGGCAAAGGAUGUUGCAUUUUGACUUUGUCUCCCGGAAGCCACCCCCUAUGAAGCAAGAAGGAAGCAGCUCUUCCCACGGCGGAGUCACCAUUGACUCUAUUUAUUAUUAUGGUAAAUCAGUGUAUCAAGAUGUCAAUCUGAGAUCUUAUUUCGGUUUGAUACGUCCACCUACAAGACUCACCUUUAGCUUUCGUCUUGGUAGGUGUAUUAUUAUACAUUUUCCCAAAAGAACAUUCAUUCAUUUCUUUCUUCUUCGUCGACCAUGAUGACUGAAACGAUGCGAAAAAUCUAGACCCGUAAAGGAGAAGGGCCGGUGGGGGAAUUUGGGAAAGUCGGGCCGAUCGGAUGUCUUCAUUCAAGCGACGGUACAGAAGAAGAACGAAACAAAGUGAGAGGUUAGGGGGCAGGGAAAAGAGUCGAGUUGAUCAGGCUCGACAAUUGGGAGAAGCAAAACAAAAUCAGGAUUUGGCCGGAAAAGAAGCAAGGCUAUGGAUACCAUGACCAAUAACCAUCCAUAAAGAAGAAUCUUUCUAAAUAACUUCAGGUCAAAGGGGCCUUCAUGCAUCCAAAAUACACCGUGUUUGAAAAUGACAUAGCAUUCCUGAUAGAAAAUGACGAUUCCUUAAGAAAAAGAAACUUAUUCAAGUUCUUUUUCCUAAGAAGUCCUGCUCCGACCGCCCGACGAGUCAACUACUUAAAAGGACCCUCCCCGUACUCCUCUCUUCCUUGAAUUAUUCGGUCAUCCAAUACUUAUUGAAUACAAAGAAUAAAAUUCAUUUCGAUCCUAUCGUAGUUCUCAAUAAUUUCGUGGCAUCGGGCAUGGCAGAACAAUCUACAAUGGGGGGAGCUAAUGCAUAGGGAAGAACCUUAGAUAAAAAAAUACGUUUUUGCAUCGCUUUUUUGUAAAAAGCUCGAUAAGCGAUAAAAAGUGUUUGGCCGAAGCCAAAAAGAGGGUGACCACUUUAUUCGCCAAGAGAAUGAUCUUCGCUUCGCGGGAACAUUAAAAACAACUAUCUCGCUCUUUCCUUUCUUCGGUGCUACCUUUUUUUAUUCAAACCUUUUUAUUAGGAUGCCCGGGAAUAACUUCUAGGUCAAUAAAGGAGAAAAUGUUGGAAACUUUUGGGUAAGGAUAGAGUAAUAGAAUUGACAGAGAAAUUCAUAGACCUAAAUAGGAUAGGAAAAUUGAUAAGGGGAAAAGCUGAUUAUAGAACAAACACUAAUACCUAAUUGAAUCGGUCAAGAUCAAAUCUGUUUAUCAAAGUGCUUCUCCGAUUGCCCAAGACAUCUCUUUUUAACCGAGGAACAAAACAAGAUCAUCUUGUUCCAUUUUUAGUCAAAUAGUGAAGAAUAUUCUAUUUGUAAUGAAAAAGGGGGUAGAGGGGAUCCGUAUAUGUUGUUCAGGUGGAUUAGAAGGUGUAGAAAUAGCUAGAACUGAAUGUGGAAAGUAUGGAAAAACAUCUCGUAAUGUAUUUAACCAGAAAAUAUAUUAUGCUCAUGCGGAAGUAUCUACUCGUUACGGAAUCUCAGGUGUCAAAGUGUGGAUUUCAUAUUACAAAAAAAGGGGACGUGCUAUAACAGAAACGAAUGGAAUAUAGUAAAUAUCGUAAAGGAAGACGUAGUAUGGGUUGCAAACCGGACGGUACACAGCUUGGUUUUGGAAAAUACGACACUAAAAGUUGUAGAGCUCGUUGUGUUUCAUAUCGAUCCAUUGAGGCAGCGUGUCGUGCUAUAAUCAGACACUUCCACCGUGCUAUGAGAGGACAAUUCCGAAGAAAUGGUAAGAUAUGGGUAAGAGUUCUCGCAGAUAUCCAUAUAGCUGGGAAACCUACAGAUGUAAGAAUGGAAAGAGGAAAAGGAAAUCCUACGGUUGGAUUGCUCGUGUGUCCAGGGGACAAAUUCUAUUUGAAAUGGAUGGUGUGAGUUUGUCAAAUGCUCGACAAGCCGCUACAUUAGCGGUGCAUAAACUAUGUUCGUCAACCAAGUUUGUUCAGUGGUCGUAAGCUUAUUAAUCUUACCCAAAUUGGUACACGCCAAUUCCAUUUUGCCGGAUUUAAAGAGCCAUCAAUCACUAUGAUCUCUUUCUUAGAAAAGAAAUUGCGUAAAUUCUGUAUUUUUUGAUCCCAUGCUUUCCGUUGGUCAACAACCAACUAAAUCUACACUUCUUCACUACUCCUAAAGGGAAGGUGGAAGAAAUUCAGUCUCUUUUUUUUGAGGGGGAGCAGAGCAGUCAAAGAAUGAACCAAACCAAAUGAUUGUUCUAGAAUGGCUAUUCCUCAUAAUUUCUCCUUGUGAUGCAGCAAAACCAUGGUAAUUAGGAUCUCAAGACGUAGAAACACCUAUAAUGCAAAGAAUAACAUACUUACAUUACAAUGUCUUUUUCUUCGUUAUUCUAAUUUUUUUUCCGUAUCAUGGAUCUUGGGUCGUGCUUUAUGGCAUUCCCACUAUAAAAAAAUCCAAUCCCGCAAAGGAUUGUUAAUGGAACUACUAUCGAGAUUCUUCGGACAAUAUUUCUUAGUAUCAUCCUUAUGUUCAUUGCUAUACCAUCAUUUGCUCUGGUAUACUCAAUGGACGAGGUAGUAGUAGAUCCAGCCAUUACUAUAAAAGUUAUUGGACAUCAAUGGUAUCGGAGUGCGCCUCUUCAUGAGGGUGAUUAAAUUGCAACGAAAUGCCUUAAAGUUGAAUCGGAUUUGCGAAGCAUCUGGCUUACCGGUAAUCUCCCAGCCCCGCCGUCGAGAGACUUUAAUAACUAUAGCAUGCUAGAAACGGGGAGUUGAGGUAGUUAGGCCUAUACCCCAAAAUGCUCCCAGCAUAGGAGCCUAUGUUUGCAUUCUUUUUAUUGCUUGAGGAACACAUCCCUCUUCUAAGUGUGGAAUGACAUACGAGAAAUAGAUGCUUAGCCUACAAUGUCCGAUAAUUACGCUAAAGUAGUGAAUCUAUUUGCACCAUAGUAGUGGUAUACAACUUUGGACCUAACAGUCGUCCUAUUAACCUUGCGGAAUGGGGGGUCCCUGUUGCCAACAACCACAGAAGUAGUUGCGGAACUAUUGGGCCGGGAGAGGAGCGGAAAGUAACUUGCCUAUAAGGAGAGGACAACCUCUUGUUCCUGCUUCUCUUUCUUUGCUUCGGGGACGGAGGUUCUACGGUAGGUAACAGCAGGCAAAAUCAAGUUAACCGAAGGGGACCAGCGCUCCUCCACCAAGGAGUCGUUCUUGGGAGAAGCUAAGGAUGUCGUGAACGGUGAGAGAUCACAGAGAAUUGACCUAUUUAUAGUGUGAUCCCAUGAUUGAUAUAGGCUAUAGACUAUCUCAUUCUUUAUUCUAUUCUAUUACUGAAAAAAAAGAAGGGUGACUCAACUUCUCAGCUAGAGUUGGUAGUGGGACCUAUUGGCAUAAUGCAUGCUAGAACGUGGGAAUUCGAGGUCUCAUGAACUACUACUAAAAACCAAACUUGUUUUUGUUUUGUUUGUGGAUAAACGAUAUCCGGUCAGUCCUAUGGCUGGAUCGUAUUAGAUCUACGGGUUGGCCAACCCCGACCAUUUACAUGAGCAUAGGGAAUCUAUACUCGAGCGUUCCACUGUGCCCCUGAUAGGAUAGGUGAGGAAUCACUCUGGAUCUUCUUUUUUUGGGCUACAACUUCGCCGAGCCGACUAGAAUCCCUUUCCACUGUGCAUUUUUCAAACAAAGAAGACGUGUAUAGGAUCGAAUUCGCUCUUCAAGAAACUGCUCAUCUAAUACCUUCUGCAUAUCUCAUAUGUGUGGAACCUCGUCAUUUUCAGUUCCAGCCUCUCUCUCGAAUACGUAGAGUAGGUAGGGCUGGGUGAUAAAUAGUUCACUCUUGCCAAUAAACUUUCCCCGGCCUGCGAUUAACCUUACUCAUAAUGGGUCUUAGAGUUGGGAGAACUACCUAACUAAAGAAAAAUAGUGUUCUUUCUAAGAGUAGGUGUUGAGAGCUUUUUGUGGGGAAACUAGCAAGUACAAUUUGGGGGGAGGCGGGCGUCAACCCUACCUUAUGAGUAUUCAGACUAUAACAGUUUGAAUGAACAGUCACUCAAUUUUGACAAUUAUACGAUUCGAGAAGAUGAUCUAGAAUUGGGUCAAUCAAGUUUAUAAGAAGUCGACAAUAGAGUGGUUCUACCAGCAAAGAGCCCUAUAUGUUUUAUUGUAACAUCUGCUGAUGUACCUCAUAGUUGGGUUUUACCUUCCUUAGGUGUCAAACGUGAUGUUAUACCGGGUCACUUAAAUGAGACCUCUAUUUCGGUACAACGAAAAGGAGUUUACUAUUGUCAGUGAAGUGAGAUUUGUGGAACUAAUCAUGCCUUUAUGCCUAUCAUCGUAGAAGCUGUUCCUAGGAAAGAUUAUGGCUCUCGGGUAUCCAAUCAAUUAAUCCCACAA